rnacentral:rRNA from 1 species
GACAGAGGGUGCGAACGUUGUUCGGAAUUACUGGGCGUAAAACGCGUGUAGGCGGCAACGCAAGUCGGGCGUGAAAUCCCACGGCUCAACCGUGGAAGUGCACUCGAAACUGCGUAGCUAGAGUCCUGGAGAGGAAGGUGGAAUGCUUGGUGUAGAGGUGAAAUUCGUAGAUAUCAAGCGGAACACCGGUGGCGAAGGCGGAUCUCUGGGCCUUACCUGACGCUCAGGCGCGAAAGCUAGGGGAGCGAACAGG